GNGCCCNGAAUUNCCCNUUUNCNUNANCGGNGGAAAAGAACNUACCAGGGUUUNCCNUUGUAAGGGGGAACGACCGGGAAUUAGCCCAGCACCGAAUCCUGUAUCUUUGGUAUUAGGAAUUGUGGUGUAUAGGUUGUGUCUUUAAUUGUCGAAUUGGUUCCAAAUUCACUUGAUUGUGAUGUUGUCCAGAGAAGGUGUUAGACCUGUUGGAAUCGAUUUUGCUUUUAUUGAUGCUUCCUCUGAGUCGGAUUGUUUGAGAAUGCAGUCCAAAUACGGUGGUAUACUUCAUCUAAGGCUAAAUACUUGUGUGAGUCCGAUAGCAAACAAGUACCGUGAGGGAAAGUUGAAAAGAACUUUGAAGAAAGAGUUAAAUAGUACGUGAAAUCGCUUAGAGGUAAACGAGUGGAGCCGAAGUUGUAUUGUGGGAUUCAGUUGAUUUGUAUAUCGUCUAAUAGUUGAAUAAGGUCUCAAAAGGAUUUGUUUUGUUAUUAGCUUAUGGUAUUCAGUCGAUGCACUUUCCAUUUUACUUGACUGCGACCAAUAGUGUUGUUUCUCUGUCGUUGUGAUGAAGUUGAUCAAUGGUUUAUUCCAUAGGUUUUAUAGCGCACAGCACGGUUAAACGGUGUAUUGGUGAAUACGAUUCAGUCAACGUUGAUGAUUGUAUGAUGGUGAUUGAUUGAUGGUUGGCUUAUUAAAGAUUUCCGUCGGUUAGUUAUUGUCAUCGGUUAUCGAUAGAUUGUUUCUAAAGUCUGCAGUGUAUAUGUAGGUUACCUACUCGUCCCGUCUUGAAACACGGACCAAGGAGUUUUAUAUUAUCGCGAGUCAAAGGGCCUUACGAAACCCCACGGCGCAAUUAAUGUGAAGGUUGACUAUUACUGUCGACUGAGAUGUGACCUGAUGCUAAAACAUACAGAGCAACAUCAACCCGUCUAAAUAUGUUCGCAUAUGGGCGGAGUUUGAGCGAUAAUGUAGAGACCCGAAAGAUGGUGAACUAUGCUUGUGCAGGUUGAAGUCAGAGGAAACUCUGAUGGAGGACCGCCGCGGUUCUGACGUGCAAAUCGAUCGUCGGACAUGAGUAUAGGGGCGAAAGACUAAUCGAACCAUCUAGUAGCUGGUUCCCUCCAAAGUUUCCCUCAGGAUAGCUGGCAUUUAUUGUGUGUAGUUUUACCCGGUAAAGCGAAUGAUUAGAAGUAUUGGGGACGAAAUGUCCUCAACUUAUUCUCAAACUUUAAAUGGGUUCGAAGUGCUUCUCGUUUAAUUAGAGAAGUACAUUGAAUACAAAUGCCUAGUGGGCCAUUUUUGGUAAGCAGAACUGGCGAUGUGGGAUGAACCAAACAUCUGGUUAAGGUGCCUAACAUCAUGCUCAUGAGAAACCACAAAAGGUGUUGGUUGAUAAAGACAGCAGGACGGUGGACAUGGAAGUCGUCAUCCGCUAAGGAGUGUGUAACAACUCACCUGCCGAAUCAACCAGCCCUGAAAAUGGAUGGCGCUGUAGCGUGAGACCCAUACCGGAUCGGUAUCGUAAGUCGUUUCAUUGGAAAUGGUGAGUAAACGGUACCGUGUAGGAGGGUGCCGUGGUUGCUAAGAAGCUACUGGCGUGAGUCAGAGUGGAGCGGUCACGGGUACAGAUCUUGGUA
rnacentral:rRNA from 1 species